UCAACGCCUGUGCUCUCUCCACU
rnacentral:piRNA from 1 species